GAUGAACGCUGGCGGCGUGCCUAAUACAUGCAAGUCGAGCGAACAGAUAAGGAGCUUGCUCCUUUGACGUUAGCGGCGGACGGGUGAGUAACACGUGGAUAACCUACCUAUAAGACUGGGAUAACUUCGGGAAACCGGAGCUAAUACCGGAUAACAUAUUGAACCGCAUGGUUCAAUAGUCAAAGGCGGCUUUGCUGUCACUUAUAGAUGGAUCCGCGCCGUAUUAGCUAGUUGGUAAGGUAACGGCUUACCAAGGCAACGAUACGUAGCCGACCUGAGAGGGUGAUAGGCCACACUGGAACUGAGACACGGUCCAGACUCCUACGGGAGGCAGCAGUAGGGAAUCUUCCGCAAUGGGCGAAAGCCUGACGGAGCAACGCCGCGUGAGUGAUGAAGGUCUUCGGAUCGUAAAACUCUGUUAUCAGGGAAGAACAAAUGUGUAAGUAACUGUGCACAUCUUGACGGUACCUGAUCAGAAAGCCACGGCUAACUACGUG
rnacentral:rRNA from 1 species